GCAUAUGCUUCUACAUUUAACACAGCUACUCACCUAGUUUCGCCUCCAUUUAGGAGCUGUUAUGCUAUCAAGUCAAAGCCUUUGAAAACCAAUUGCUUGACUUUGCUCUGAUCAUUCCCAAUCCAAGCGUGAAGUGAACAAGUAGGAACACUCUCAGUCACUUACUGUGUAUAGUUUUUUGAGCUGGAUCAGUGCAAUACAAGAAAUACCCAGUUUCUGAUGUGAUUCUAUUUCCAGGAAAUUCUGUUGAAUUUUGAAAUAUUUUCAGUGGUUUAAUGUGCUCGACUUAGUCUUGCAUUCCAUUACUUCCACAUUUGAAAAUGUUUAUUUGUGCUUCUAUACUGCUUUUGCUAUAAGAUUGGGCAUGCAUUUUUAAAUAUGUCUAUUACAUGUUAAGUGAACAGUGCUAUAUUUAAUUUCAGUCAAUAAUACAUACAUACAUGCUUUAACAGGCUAGGUUUGAUGGUAAUGGGAAGCCUUAUUUUGGCAUCCUUUAUGACAUAUGCUGCAGAGCACCUCUCAGUAAGAACAUUUAUGAGGGGCUAUGAAGACAGGGAUGCACAAAGAACCAGGAACAUAUGUUCUUUCUGUUAGUAGUAGCCUACUUUUCAUGUUAUUAGCUAACCGUUAUCAGCAGCUAUUCUUGUUUUGUCUGUAAUUUGUUUUAAACAUAUUCUUCCCUAUAUUUAAUUGUAGAAUAUUGUGGAAAUUUUUUCCAUUCUAGAGCUGUUCCUUUUGAGUAGGCUGGUCCUAAUUUUCAUGGGAUAACAAUCUUUAUUCUACUGUCAGUUGUAAUUUAAGCUUGUUACAAGCAACUGGAUAGAUUUCACCUUGAAACUGACAUCCAAGGGAGGAUGCUUAAUGUGUUUAUAAGUCAACACAUCAAGCAUCCAGUCUGUACCUUCGGAAUCGACGUCUAUGGCAGCCCAUUUCUCAAUUAGAUGACUCAGCCGAGGCAGUCUUCUACUUUUGUAGUCAUCUCCAGGUGCACCAUCUCAAAUGAGGGUUCAUCCAAGAAAGGGUGCCUGCUAUAAUCACAGGCACUUGGGUAGAAAUCACUCUAAAAAUUGGCUCGUAAGUGAAGAUUACCCGAUAUGCUUAUAAGUUCAUAAGGCUGCCUUGGAGCCUUUCUCCAGCUGAUUGGAACUUGAAGUAGCUUUUAUUUGGUGAUUUUCUGUUUUACAAUUUUUUAAUCAAAAAAUUGUUCUAGCUUUAAGAAUGUUGUAUGCAAUGCUAAAUUAUUAAUGUAUCAAGUGAAAAUACUCCUGUCUCCUGCCAUUCUAGUUGCUAGAAAUUAUACUAUGGUUGGUUAAUUUUCUAUAAUGUGUGUAAACUUUUCUUCCUUCUACUGGGAAUUUUGUACUUCAAUAGAGAGAACUAUUAAGCCAAUUCGGUUCUCAUUAAAAUUGGGUCGAAUCGCACUAUACUUACCCCUAAAUAUAUCGUUAGUUGAUGUAACUCUGGAU
rnacentral:lncRNA from 1 species